UGCGACACCGAUAAGAGAACA
ensembl:piRNA 21ur-3788 ncRNA